rnacentral:lncRNA from 1 species
CUGGCACUUGAGGGGACACUGACUGGCAGGGACUUAAGGGCCUGGGAAAUAGCCUGCUGCCCUCUUGAGGAUAGGCAUUGGCACCCUUGGGUGGACACUAGAAUUCAUGGGCAAAGUCUGGACCAUUACUUGACCUACUCCCAGGGGUCCUGUUACAGCUCUAUGGCCUCGAGGGUCUGGGACGGAAAUGAAGCUGUUUCCCUCAUCUCUGUCUUGAAGAAGAGCAACUGUGAUGACCUACAUGAAACCUGAAGGAGAGAGUUAACCCUCCUGGAAGGGGAGGAGGUCAAGAGACUUACAAGCCUUACAAUACUCACAGAGCUCAUGAGAACCACGUGACCUCCACUACGCAGGCUCCUCUACCCUGGUGGCUACUAAAUUAGAUGAAUUGGGGCACUUCUAGGGGCAUAGCUGCCUGUUAACUGCCCAUGGAAUUUCUCAGUGGUACAGCUGCUUUUGAGUUGCCAGUGCUCCGGUAAAUUACCCUAAUAGUUAUUACUUCACUGAGUGGGACUUGGAUACAAUCUUUUCCUUUGGUGUAUUGGUGACCCAGAAAAAGUCAUGCAAGAGAGGUCCUGGAGGUUACUGUGAUCAGGGACCACAGUCUUGCCGUCUCACAGCCUUUGUUGACUCUGUCACUUUGGCCCUGGCUGCUCUCUAGACUUCUUCAGAUGCCCUUCCGUUGCUAUUGCCACCAUUGCUACCCCUAGAGCAGUGGCGACUGCUGCUCUCACCUCUACUAACACCUUCCUUUCCUCAUGUCACCAGCUUAGCCCAUUCCAUAGAGAUCAAAAGUAGGCAAGAAACCAGAAGCUGA